rnacentral:rRNA from 1 species
CGACUACGACCUCAGAUCAGAUGAGACAACCCGCUGAAUU